GAUGAACGCUGGCGGCGUGCCUAAUACAUGCAAGUCGAGCGAACGGACGAGAAGCUUGCUUCUCUGAUGUUAGCGGCGGACGGGUGAGUAACACGUGGAUAACCUGCCUAUAAGACUGGGAUAACUUCGGGAAACCGGAGCUAAUACCGGAUAAUAUUUUGAACCGCAUGGUUCAAUAGUGAAAGACGGUCUUGCUGUCACUUAUAGAUGGAUCCACGCUGCAUUAGCUAGUUGGUAAGGUAACGGCUUACCAAGGCAACGAUGCAUAGCCGACCUGAGAGAGUGAUCGCCCACACUGGAACUGAGACACGGUCCAGACUCCUACGGGAGGCAGCAGUAGGGAAUCUUCCGCACAGGGCGAAAGCCUGACGGAGCAACGCCGCGUGAGUGAUGAAGGUCUUCGGAUCGUAAAACUCUGUUAUUAGGGAAGAACAUAUGUGUAAGUAACUGUGCACAUCUUGACGGUACCUAAUCAGAGAGCCACGCCUAACUACGUG
rnacentral:rRNA from 1 species